rnacentral:tRNA from 1 species
GAGGGUACAGCUCAAGUGGUAGAGUGCAUGCUUAGCAUGCAUGGGGUCCUGAGUUCAACCCCCAGUGCCCUCA